ensembl:lncRNA
AUUAAUGUCUAUGUUAUGGGAAGUUCUAGCGUAAUGAUCUAGUGAGCCUAACGUGAAGAUCCUCAAGCCAUGGCCCAGAGAUCCUAGGUGGUUGGGGGGAGGGGUCUGACAACACAGCAGCAACAAUAAGCGUACAUUUGAGACAGGAAGUAUUUCUUUAUUAUAUAUAUUUAUUUAAGUUGACGUUGGACUUAGUUGGUCUGCAAUAAGGUGAUCCCAUCUGUCACCGAACCAGGUCUAGACCAAUUUCAAAACAGAUACAUACCAGGUCUAAAUCAUCUUCAAACCAGGUCCAAACAAGGUUUAAAUAAUUUCUAAGGAACAACAUAUCUGAUAAAUUUCAAAGCAGACGGAUCAGAUUCUACUGAAGUAUAAAGAACGACAAACACACACACACACACAUAAACACAUAAACACAUGUACAGUCAGCCAGUGCUGCAGACACAGACUGGCAUUAACAACAUAUGGUAGUGUGUAUAAAAAGCAUAUUAAGUGCCAGAAACAAGAUUAGACCCAUAAACAACCACAUUCCCAAUGUUUAGCAGUUACGAAACCAGAAGAAAAUAUUUCUAAAAACAAUAGGUUGUCUCGCAAUAAAACAUUCCAUGAUGCAAUCCAGGCAGCAAAAACCCCGCCCACCCAGGCUUCCUGGAAUGCUGUCUGAGUAUAUUAACUGAGGACUGGUGAGGAAGAGGUUGAUGCAAGGGUUGGAUGGAGUAUAAAGGGGUUUUAGGGGGUUUGAGGAGGAGGGAGUGUAGGAGGAGUGGAGGCUUACUGGAAGCCUGCUGGAAACCAUUAACCGAGGGCUGUGUGAGGAAGUUGGAUGAAGAGGAAUAUAAGGAGCAGGGGAGAGUGAGGGAGUGUAGAUGGGCCAGGCAGAUUGGAGGGUAAGGGGUUCUGGUCCAGAGUGACUAAAGGGGUUAAAGGGUUCAGGAUGGAGGGUAAAGGGGUUGGAGAAGGAUGAGGGGUUGGAAGAGGAGAGAGAGAUUGGGUGAAGGCUUAGUGGAUGGCUGCUGGAAAACAAUAACUGAGGGGUGUGUGAAGAAGGUGGAUGAGGAGGAUGAGGAGGAAGAGGAGUAGCCAGGGAGUGUGACACAGUGUGGGGGGGAGGAGGAGGAGGUUUCUUGGCCCCAGGAGGUAGUGGUGAAGGAUCUGAUGCCAACCUUUCAGUCCAAGCCAAGUUACGUGUAGGCUGCCAUGUUAUCAGUUCAUGUUAACAGCAUCAGGGUCACGUAACGGGUCUGUCACAGGUAGAAAGGGACCGGGCCUGAAGAAUGAGAAGAUGCACCACUGCACCACGACACUGUUGGCAUCAGUCUGCAAGAUGCUUUAGAUAUAAAUGUGUUAGGUUUCUUUAAAGGGCAUGAAAUACAAAAAAAUCGGACAUGUUUUAAAUAUUAAGGUUUAGGGUAAGGGAAUCUGGUUCAGGCUGAUGGUGGGUUAGGGGUUCUGGUCCAGGCUGACCGGAGGGUUAGGGGUUCUGGUGGUCCAGGCUGACCGGAGGGUUAGGGGUUCUGGUGGUCCAGGCUGACUGGAGGGUUAAGGGUUCUGGUCCAGGCUGACUGGAGGGUUAAGGGUUCUGGUCCAGGCUGACUGGAGGGUUAGGGGUUCUGGUCCAGGCUGACUGGAGGGUUAAGGGUUCUGGUCUAGGCUGAUGGAGGGUUAGGGGUUCUGGUCCAGGCUGACCGGAACAUUAGGGGUUCUGGUCUAGGCUGAUGGAGGGUUAGGGGUUCUGGUCUAGGCUGAUGGAGGGUUAGGGGUUCUGGUCCAGGCUGACCGGAGGGUUAGGGGUUCUGGUCUAGGCUGACUGGAGGGUUAGGGGUUCUGGUCUAGGCUGAUGGAGGGUUAGGGGUUCUGGUCCAGGCUGACUGGAGGGUUAGGGGUUCUCGUGGUCUAGGCUGACUGGAGGGUUAAGGGUUCUGGUCCAGGCUGACUGGAGGGUUAGGGGUUCUGGUCCAGGCUGACUGGAGGGUUAGGGGUUCUGGUGGUCUAGGCUGACUGGAGGGUUAAGGGUUCUGGUCCAGGCUGACUGGAGGGUUAGGGGUUCUGGUCUAGGCUGAUGGAGGGUUAGGGGUUCUGAUCCAGGCUGACUGGAGGGUUAGGGGUUCUGGUCCAUGCUGACCGGAACUUUAGGGGUUCUGGUCCAGGCUGAUCGGAACGUUAGGGGUUCUGGUCUAGGCUGACCCGGGCCGUGCUGUAGAAGGUGAUCCUUCCGCUACAGGCGACCUGGAGGUUCACCGUGGUGGCAUAGUUGGUCCUAGGAAGCCCCGGGUGGGCUGUGAUCUGUGUUUGAACCAGAGUGUGGGGAUCUGCUUGCUGGGUGGUGGGGUUGUGGUUGGUGUGGUCGGUGGAGGGCGUGGUGGUGGGAGUUUGGGCCAGGGAAGGGCGGGCUACAUAGGCACAGAACAGCUGACUGCGACAGCUUCCCUUCUCCAGCUCUCCCUGCUCUUGGGGAGAGGAGAAGGAGGGGGAAGGAGGGUGAGCAUAGGAGAGAGGAGCAGAAGAAGAGGAGAAGGGGGCUGUUGUGACCUCAGUCUCUGGACUCUGGUCGAGGAGCUCCUGAUCGUCUCGCUGGGGAUGCCUCCCAGCCUGGGUGGCCCUGUCUGGGCUGAGCCUGCUGGGCGAGACCGGAGGCUGGAGGUAGGAGGAGCAGGCCUUGAUAGGGCUCCUGAGGUUCAGGGAACUUGGGGCAGGAGUAGAGGAGGAGGUGUCCGGUGUAUAGGAGGUCGGGUAGGGUGCAGAGCAUGGGUUCCGUGGCCGGGGUGCAGCGAUGUGAUCGGUCCAGGCGUUUGACGGAACACCAAUCGGAGGCGGGGACAGAAUGCGGGGGCAGCAGGAGCCGGAGCCAGUAACAGACUUCAUCAAGAUGGCCUGCUCCAGGCUGAGGCCCGUGGGCGGGGUAAGAACCAGGGGAGUGGAAGAGUCCUGGGGAGGAAUGGGAGUGAAGGAGUCAUGGUGAGGAGCUGGAGAGCAGAGAAAGGCGGAAGGGGAUUGGACCCGCGAGCCUGGCUCGGAGGCAGAGAAGGGCCGUGCAACCCGGUUGUGAUGGCCGGACCAGAGAGCAUCAUGGGAAGGCUGUGUUGCAGCGACGCUGGCGGGAGAACAAGAGACAUUCCUCUGGCUUGCUAGCCAUCCACCGCUUCCACUAGCACCGCUGGCACUUCUGUGGCUGACCCCUACAUCUGCCAUGCUAUCCCUGCAAUGCCUGUGGUUGUUGCUGUGGUUGCUGUUUAUAUGAACGCAGGAAUCUGAUAGGCCGACAGAUCUGGAGUGGAGGAGGGAGUUGGAGGAGGGGAGGCUGGGGAGGGGGAGUGAGGGCCAUGGCCCAGGGAGGAGGGGGUGGUCGCUGAGGAGGUGGGGGCGCUGUGGAACCAGGGGAGAUGAUAGGGGGUUGUUACAAUGGAUAAAUGGGGGCGGGGCAUUCUUCUUGGCGAUGCUUUGACUGAUGAAGGAGGCGGCCAAUGAUCUGGAGAAGGCUGAGAACGGGGCUCCGCCCCGUCUGUCCAAACCCCUCCCACUAGAGGGCUGAGGGGGGGAGAAAGGAGGGAUGGCCCUGCAGGGGGAGGGGGGGCGGUGGGUGAGGUUAGGCCUGGAGAGGGAGGGUGGGGGAGACAGCAACGAUGACAUCUCCCAUGGCAACCGAGGAAUAUCCUGAUGGAGGUCCUCAGAAGAGCUGAGAGAGAGAGAGAGAGAGAGAGAGAGAGAGA